CACCGAGAAGCUUCUAUAGCAUCAGCCUUUUAAGUUGAAAGAGGAAACGUCUUUCCCUCGGUG
rnacentral:tRNA from 1 species